GUGCGGCUGGAGGAUAUGGAAGUGUGAUGAAGGUGAUUCAGCUGGAGACGGAGGUGGCAUGCUACACAUAGGGCACCCGGGUUUUUAUAGGGUCAGAAAUCAUAAUUUACCAACUGAACUUUUGGACAAUUACUUAUAAAAAACAAUAUUAUCAUAUUUUUGUGGUGUCAGGUAACUCUACUAAUCAUAAGGUGGAUCCGCUCCUGAGCAUGUGUUUAAAAAAUAAAUCUGAUAUAUAUCUAUCUAAUACUAAAAGGGUUAUAUGAGGAGUAGGGAGGCUGUCCACGUCCUCAUUUUAAAUCAGCCAAUAAGUGAGUUCGAUUUCGCCACGUCAACAUCGCUGGAUCAGAAAUGGAUUUCGGGUGGGUUUUAUAAAAAUUAUAAGUUCAUCCUUCGCAAGCCCAAAACCUAUUUCUUCUCAGAUUCCCCUCCCCCCACCCCGACUCUUUGGCUUCAUCUUCUCCGAUCUAUAUCAAUCAAUGAUCUUUAAAAUCUUUCUCAAUGUUUCAUUUUACCUCUGACGAUUCUUCAUCUUUCAAAUCCAGAUAUUUCAUGAAUUUAUCAACCACUUGGUAUAAGUUUAGGGCCAUACACACAAACCCUCACUACCCCAAACCAAGUUCUCUGUAGUUCCUACUUUUCUACUCUUCUUUUCCGUCAUGGCUCACCUCGAUUUUCUCUUCCUAAUUUACAUUCGACAAUCACACACAUGGCUAUACUUUGUGGCUAUCGAUGGUUUGAUAACACACAAUGAUUGACUCUUGCAGGCUGGUGGGCUGCUUAGAUUUUGGGAAGCAAACGUCAAAUGCGGUUGGGAGUUGAUGGAGUGUAUAUGUUUCUCCUCCAUGCCAAGAUUGCUGAAGACACUAAGGGCUAAACAAUUGUCUCACCAAAAGGUCAGAGUUUCAUAGAUUAUGACAACUGCAAUAUCUAUAGAGGAUGUGAGAAGAUAAGUUAAAACCUACGGGCGUUAUCUGGAUAUAACGAUCUGGUAUAAUUCUAUGAUGAGUUCGAGGAAAAUGCCAGUGACUACAUCGUUAUAGAAAUUAUAUAAACUGCUGUUGGUUUAUUUGGAGGUGGAGAAUACACUAAUGGAGUGGAUGCAGCAGCGGUUAUGGUGGCCAAAGCUGGGAGCAGCGACCGUCCUUCCAUUUCAUGCUUAAACAGCCCAACUUUCCUUCAUGUUGAGCUACGCCGAGAAACUAUGGUGAAGAAGCGUUACAGAAUACAAGGCUCUGUUUCCCGCAAUCGUUUUUCAACAGUACGUAAGAACAUCAUACUGGUUACAUCUGAUCAAUAUCUCUACCGAUAAUAUAUUGUUAGAAAGAUUCUUAUGCUUGAAAGUUACAAUGAUAUUUUGUGGAAGCCGAGUCUCCCCAGACGAAGUUGCAGCUAGAGGUGUAGAGUUCAUUAACUGGUGGUUACCAUGUAUACUAAAAUAACAUUUUUGUUCCUUUUUAGUUACUAAUUAUUUUUCCAUUGAUUUGAAAAUAUAUAUAUGCCAUUUGCUUUGUCAACUCUCUGGAUAAGGAAAGAAAAGGAGAUUGCAAAUAUAUCUCACAGUGUCUUUCUGCAUGGCGUCUUAACAUAAAUUACGACAUACGAUAGAGUUGUCUUUAGAGUAAGCUACCUUAAUGCAUAAACCUGAAGAAAUGCAUGAACUGUUUGCUAAUGAAACUAUUCAACAUUUUCCAGCUUCAAAAAGGUUAUGAUCAAUAUUAUAGUCUCUGAGAUGCAUGCAUCAGACGUGCAUAAAGCUAUUCAUCAUUUUCCAGCUUCAAGGUUAGAAGGUCAAGCUCCUCAAAUAUUCCCCACUAUUUGUCACACAACAAACCGAGAUGUAUCACAAUUAAAAAAAUAAAAUAUCACACUGUAAUACUAUUUGUAGCUCUAAUGUAGUAUUUGAAUUCAUUAUUUUAUUCCAUCCUAAACAAAUAUUUUCAUCGCUAAUAUAUAAAACAUGACCAGACUGUCUGCUUGAAUUGUGUUAGCAACCUUCUUGACACCAAACUCAUAUUGUUCUUUUAUUUUGAUACUUUAUGCUUGGUGUAAUGUAAUUUUGCUGCAGUAAAUAUAUCAACUUUUCCAUUUUAAUUAGUUAACUAAUAUUUUUGACUAAGUUAUAUGUUAGCUUCGAGUGAAAGAUGUUUCCAAGAACUGAAAAGUGGUUGGAAUAGAUGGAAGAAACAAGCUACUUUUGAAAGAGCCAUCGGCAAUGCAAUUUUGUCAGAUUACAUUUCAUCUGAUUCUUGAAAAAUUCAAAUACUUCAAAGAUUUUGUUAGACUACAUUUGGUGACGUUUCCAAGUAAGCUAUAUAUACACACACCGAAAAUGAAAAUA